CACAAGCGGUGGAGCACGUGGUUUAAUUCGAUGCAAACCGAAGAACCUUACCUGGGUUUGACAUGUACGUGGUACGGAUCUGAAAGGUAAAGGACUUACUCUUCGGAGUGAGAGCGUACACAGGUGCUGCAUGGCUGUCGUCAGCUCGUGUCGUGAGAUGUUGGCUUAAGUGCCAUAACGAGCGCAACCCUCAUCAUUAGUUACCAUCAGGUAAGGCUGGGGACUCUAAUGAGACUGCCAUCGUAAGAUGUGAGGAAGGUGGGGAUGACGUCAAAUCAGCACGGCCCUUACGUCCGGGGCGACACACGUGUUACAAUGGGUGGUACAAAGGGCAGCUACCUGGCGACAGGAUGCUAAUCUCGAAAACCGCUCUCAGUUCGGAUCGGAGUCUGCAACUCGACUCCGUGAAGCUGGAUUCGCUAGUAAUCGCGCAUCAGCCACGGCGCGGUGAAUACGUUCCCGGGCCUU
rnacentral:rRNA from 1 species